rnacentral:antisense_RNA from 1 species
UUAGGUAUAGACAGUCCCCCUCCGGUCAGAGCACCAACUCAGCACCGGAAAACCAAAAAGCCCGAUCUUACCAGUCGGGAUUUUUUG